rfam:Ipomoea nil DNA, scaffold: scaffold1317, cultivar: Tokyo-kokei standard.
GGGGAUGUAACUCAUAUGGUAGAGCACUCGCUUCGCAUGCGAGAAGUACGAGGCUCAAUACCCUGCAUCUCCA